rnacentral:rRNA from 1 species
GGGUAACCUGCCCAAGAGAUCGGGAUAACACCUGGAAACAGAUGCUAAUACCGGAUAACAANAGAUGAUGCCUAUCAACUGUUUAAAAGAUGGUUCUGCUAUCACUCUUGGAUGGACCUGCGGUGCAUUAGCUAGUUGGUAGGGUAACGGCCUACCAAGGCGAUGAUGCAUAGCCGAGUUGAGAGACUGAUCGGCCACAUUGGGACUGAGACACGGCCCAAACUCCUACGGGAGGCAGCAGGG